rnacentral:rRNA from 1 species
UUGGAGGGCAAGUCUGGUGCCAGCAGCCGCGGUAAUUCCAGCUCCAAUAGCGUAUAUUAAAGUUGUUGCAGUUAAAAAGCUCGUAGUUGAAUUUCGGGGUUCAUACGUUGGUCGGGCUUUUUGGUCUGUACUGGCGUAAUGGAUUCCUACCUUCUGAAUAACCGGCAUGCCAUUAAUUUGGUGCGCCGGGGAAGCAGGACUGUUACCUUGAAGAAAUUAGAGUGCUUAAAGCAGGCUAUCGCCUGAAUACAUUAGCAUGGAAUAAUGAAAUAGGACGGCAUGGUUCUAUUUUGUUGGUUUCUAGGAUCACCGUAAUGAUUAAUAGGGAUAGUUGGGGGCAUUAGUAUUCAAUUGUCAGAGGUGAAAUUCUUGGAUUUAUUGAAGACUAACUUCUGCGAAAGCAUUUGCCAAGGAUGUUUUCAUUAAUCAAGAACGAAAGUUAGGGGAUCGAAGACGAUCAGAUACCGUCGUAGUCUUAACCAUAAACUAUGCCGACUAGGGAUCGGACAGGGUUAUUUUCAUGACCGGUUCGGCGCCUUACGGGAAAC